UAAUGUUUCACAUUAAAUAUUCAUAUACACAUAAUUAGACCUUGACCGUCAGCGGAGUGACUCUGGGCAUGGUUGCUAACAUUUAAUGUCAUGGUAAACCUACCGAGCAAUGGAUAGGGAGGAGCACCUCGUCCUAGGAUCCAAUCACCUUUGACUCAGAAAAACCUAAAACAUGAAUUUUAAAAACGUGAGUACAAACUCAGUGAGUGAACAUAGGAAGGGAACAAGCAUCAAUACAGGAAGUUUUAAAAAAAAAAACAUGAUGCGCUUAUGUUGAAAACAAUGCAAUUUAGCUCAAUUCUUGUCACAACGAAAAUCCAUUUUUGCUACAGUGAAAAUUAAGUGGAAACCAUUUCUCAAGUUUUAAAAUUCAAAAAUCAAUGCAACCACAAUAUAAUUUCCAAAACCUCUAUAUAUAUAACAUAUAUAAACAUACAUACGAUCUCCGGCCUCACCCCAACACUCUCUCAGCUUAUAUGCACUCCCACACCGCACAUAGCUGGGUCAUCAUCAGCUCAUGUGCACUCCCUACUCAAUCAU
rnacentral:lncRNA from 1 species